AUUGAACGCUGGCGGCAGGCUUAACACAUGCAAGUCGAGCGGAGAUGAGGUGCUUGCACCUUAUCUUAGCGGCGGACGGGUGAGUAAUGCUUAGGAAUCUGCCUAUUAGUGGGGGACAACAUUCCGAAAGGAAUGCUAAUACCGCAUACGCCCUACGGGGGAAAGCAGGGGAUCUUCGGACCUUGCGCUAAUAGAUGAGCCUAAGUCGGAUUAGCUAGUUGGUGGGGUAAAGGCCUACCAAGGCGACGAUCUGUAGCGGGUCUGAGAGGAUGAUCCGCCACGCUGGGACUGGAACACGGCCCGGACUCCUACGGGAGGCAGCAGUGGGGAAUAUUGGACAAAGGGCGGAAGCCUGAUCCAGCCAUGCCGCGUGUGUGAAGAAGGCCUUUUGGUUGUAAAGCACUUUAAGCGAGGAGGAGGCUACCUGGAUUAAUACUCUAGGAUAGUGGACGUUACUCGCAGAAUAAGCACCGGCUAACUCUGUGCCAGCCGCCGCGGUAAAAC
rnacentral:rRNA from 1 species